UUGAUUAUAGCGACUAUAUUUAGCAUCAGAUCCUUGCAUAUUAAAUAUAGAAGGUGUUCUAUUUGGCUUGACAUCGGUAGAUGUUUUAUUUCAUCUUGGUAAAGAAGAAAUUUCCUUCCCACAGUUACCUGAUCGUUUAGGAAGACUUUGUGGUCAUUUAUUAACUCAAAGAAACUUUUAUCCUUUGUACCCACCCAGUGAAGAUAUUAAUGUUGAUUACCUCCAUUUUGAAUUGUAUUCUGGGCUUCCAGUCAUGCCUCAUGUAUUAUUUCUGCCAUCAGACCUGAGAUAUUUUAUUAAGGAUAUAAAUGGUUGCUGCUGUAUUAAUCCAGAAAGAUUGACUAAACGUUCUGCUGGUGGAACUUUUGCAAGAAUGAAAAUUAAAAAAGUAGAUGCAGAAAGUUAUGAUGGUUCAAUCACAGAUUCUUUGCUGGUGGAAAUAGUUAAGAUAUAGUUUUUUAAAAUAAUUAAAUUAAUUUGUACAUAUAAAUUGUCUCAUUUUUGUUAUUUUGAGAAAAAAAAUCAGUAAUUCUGUUUACAUUUCCUCGCUUAGCACUUUUUGUCAUUUUUCAUGAAGUUAAUAUGGAAUUAUUUAAAUGUAAAUAUUUCAAAUAUGUUAAGAAUGAUUCAAAGCUAUUUAAAUAGUAUUUGCUGGAACUGUGAUUAAAAUAAUGUGUCUGUUUUUAUUUCAAGUUUUAAAGCAUUGUAUCAUGGUAUAAAAAAUACAUAUUUUUUUUAA